GCAGGGUUCGUGACUGGGGUGAAGUCGUAACAAGGUAGCCGUAUCGGAAGGUGCGGCUGGAUCACCUCCUUU
rnacentral:rRNA from 1 species